ACGGGUGCGUAACGCGUAUGCAACCUACCUUCUUCUAAGGAAUAGCCCAGAGAAAUUUGGAUUAAUACCUUAUGUUAAUAUUUAUCCGCAUGUUUAAAUAUUUAAAACUCCGGUGGAAGAAGAUGGGCAUGCGUAACAUUAGUUUGUUGGUGAGGUAAUGGCUCACCAAGACUACGAUGUUUAGGGGGUCUGAGAGGAUGAUCCCCCACACUGGUACUGAGACACGGACCAGACUCCUACGGGAGGCAGCAGUGAGGAAUAUUGGUCAAUGGACGAAAGUCUGAACCAGCCAUGCCGCGUGAAGGAUGACGGCCCUACGGGUUGUAAACUUCUUUUGUAUAGGAAGAAACCCCUCUACGUGUAGAGGGUUGACGGUACUAUUCGAAUAAGCACCGGCUAACUCCGUGCCAGCAGCCGCGGUAAUACGGAGGGUGCGAGCGUUAUCCGGAAUUAUUGGGUUUAAAGGGUGCGUAGGCGGAAAUUUAAGUCAGUGGUGAAAGCCUGCAGCUUAACUGUAGAAUUGCCAUUGAUACUGGAUUUCUUGAAUCUAAUAGAAGUAGGCGGAAUAUGACAUGUAGCGGUGAAAUGCUUAGAUAUGUCAUAGAACACCGAUAGCGAAGGCAGCUUACUAUGUUAGUAUUGACGCUAAUGCACGAAAGCGUGGGGAGCGAACAGGAUUAGAUACCCUGGUAGUCCACGCCGUAAACUAUGAUUACUCGCUAUUGGCGAUACACUGUCAGUGGCUAAGCGAAAGUGAUAAUAAUCCACCUGGGA
rnacentral:rRNA from 1 species